AUGAACGCUAGCUACAGGCUUAACACAUGCAAGUCGAGGGGCAGCAUGAUUGAAGCUUGCUUCAAUCGAUGGCGACCGGCGCACGGGUGAGUAACACGUAUCCAACCUGCCGAUAACUCGGGGAUAGCCUUUCGAAAGAAAGAUUAAUACCCGAUAGUAUAGUAUUUCCGCAUGGUUUCACUAUUAAAGAAUUUCGGUUAUCGAUGGGGAUGCGUUCCAUUAGAUAGUUGGCGGGGUAACGGCCCACCAAGUCAACGAUGGAUAGGGGUUCUGAGAGGAAGGUCCCCCACAUUGGAACUGAGACACGGUCCAAACUCCUACGGGAGGCAGCAGUGAGGAAUAUUGGUCAAUGGACGAGAGUCUGAACCAGCCAAGUAGCGUGAAGGAUGACUGCCCUAUGGGUUGUAAACUUCUUUUAUACGGGAAUAAAGUGGAGUAUGCAUACUCCUUUGUAUGUACCGUAUGAAUAAGGAUCGGCUAACUCCGUGCCAGCAGCCGCGGUAAUACGGAGGAUCCGAGCGUUAUCCGGAUUUAUUGGGUUUAAAGGGAGCGUAGGCGGGUGCUUAAGUCAGUUGUGAAAGUUUGCGGCUCAACCGUAAAAUUGCAGUUGAUACUGGGUACCUUGAGUGCAGCAUAGGUAGGCGGAAUUCGUGGUGUAGCGGUGAAAUGCUUAGAUAUCACGAAGAACUCCGAUUGCGAAGGCAGCGGACUGGACUGGAACUGACGCUGAUGCUCGAAAGUGUGGGUAUCAAACAGGAUUAGAUACCCUGGUAGUCCACACUGUAAACGAUGAAUGCUAGGUGUAGGGGGUAUCGACCCCUUCUGUGCCGCAGUCAACACAAUAAGCAUUCCGCCUGGGGAGUACGGCCGCAAGGUUGAAACUCAAAGGAAUUGACGGGGGCCCGCACAAGCAGUGGAGUAUGUGGUUUAAUUCGACGCAACGCGAAGAACCUUACCAAGUCUUGACAUCCCUUGACGAACAUAGAAAUAUGUUUUCUCUUCGGAGCAAGGAGACAGGUGGUGCAUGGUUGUCGUCAGCUCGUGCCGUGAGGUGUCGGCUUAAGUGCCAUAACGAGCGCAACCCUUAUCUAUAGUUACUAUCAGGUCAUGCUGAGGACUCUAUGGAGACUGCCGUCGUAAGAUGUGAGGAAGGUGGGGAUGACGUCAAAUCAGCACGGCCCUUACGUCCGGGGCUACACACGUGUUACAAUGGGGGGUACAGAAGGCAGCUACCUGGCGACAGGAUGCUAAUCCCUAAAACCUCUCUCAGUUCGGAUUGGAGUCUGCAACCCGACUCCAUGAAGCUGGAUUCGCUAGUAAUCGCGCAUCAGCCACGGCGCGGUGAAUACGUUCCCGGGCCUUGUACACACCGCCCGUCAAGCCAUGAAAGCCGGGGGUACCUGAAGUACGUAACCGCAAGGAGCGUCCUAGGGUAAAACUGGUGAUUGGGGCU
rnacentral:rRNA from 1 species